rnacentral:misc_RNA from 1 species
GAUGAAGAACGUAGUGAAAUGCGAUAAGUAGUGUGAAUUGCAGAAUUCAGUGAAUCAUCGAAUCUUUGAACGCACAUUGCGCCCUCUGGUAUUCCGGGGGGCAUGCCUGUUCGAGCGUCAUUAUAACCACUCAAGCUCUCGCUUGGUAUUGGAGUUCGCGAUCUCGCGGCUCCUAAAAUCAGUGGCGGUGCCUGUCGGCUCUACGCGUAGUAAUACUCCUCGCGAUUGAGUCCGGUAGGUUUACUUGCCAGCAACCCCCAAUUUUUACAGGUUGACCUCGGAUCAGGUAGGGAUACCCGCUGAACUUAAGCAUAUCAAUAAGCGGAGGA